rnacentral:rRNA from 1 species
GACGAACGCUGGCGGCGUGCUUAACACAUGCAAGUCGAACGAAGUGGCGAACGGGUGAGUAACGCGUGAUCCACCUGCCCUUCAGAGGGGGACAACAGUGGGAAACGACUGAUAAUACCUCAUACUGAAGGAGGGGAUUGCGUCGGAUUAGCUAGUUGGAGGGGUAACGGCCAACCAAGGCGAGGAUCAGUAGCCGGUCUGAGAGGAUGAACGGCCACAGUGGGAAUGAGACACGGCCCAGACUCCUACGGGAGGCAGCAGUGGGGAAUCUUCCGCAAUGGACGAAAGUCUGACGGAGCAACGCCGCGGGAGUGAUGACGGCCUUCGGGUUGUAAAGCUCUGUUAAUCGGGACGCGGUACCGGAAUAGAAAGCCACGGCUAACUACGUGCCAGCCGCCGCGGUAAUAC